AUUGAACGCUGGCGGAAUGCUUUACACAUGCAAGUCGAACGGCAGCACGGACUUCGGUCUGGUGGCGAGUGGCGAACGGGUGAGUAAUACAUCGGAACGUGCCCAGUCGUGGGGGAUAACGUAGCGAAAGCUACGCUAAUACCGCAUACGAUCUACGGAUGAAAGCGGGGGAUCGCAAGACCUCGCGCGAUUGGAGCGGCCGAUGGCAGAUUAGGUAGUUGGUAGGGUAAAGGCCUACCAAGCCGACGAUCUGUAGCUGGUCUGAGAGGAUGAACAGACAGACUGGGACUGAGACACGGGCGAGACUCCUAAGGGAGGCGGCAGUGGGGAAUGUUGGACGAGGGAGGCAAGUCUGAUCCAGCCAUUCCGCGUGCAGGAUGAAGGCGCUCGGGUUGUAAACUGCUUUUGUACAGAACGAAAAGGCUCUGGUUAAUACCCGGGGCUCAUGACGGUACUGUAAGAAUAAGCACCGGCUAAGUACGUGCCAGCCGCCGCGGUAA
rnacentral:rRNA from 1 species